CUACCAUCCUCAGAUGUUACCCUCAUUUACAUAUAAAUCGACGAAAUCAGAGUAUAAUACCUAUAAAUCAGAGUAUAAUACCUAUAAAUCCUUAACCUUUCCACCUCCUACUUCACAAUCGAUCUCUGUGAGAGAGAGAGAGAAGAAAAGAAGAAGAAGUGAAAACCGACAAGGAGAAAAGGAGACACCGGCGACGAUUCCGGUCACGGAUGCGGGGGUUGUUCUGGUCGAGAGCCCAGACUUCAAGUGGCAUGAUUUCACAAAUCAUUUUUCACUUCAACUUGUUCACCAAGCCACAGAUUUCUCACCUAGGGUUCGUACAAAUCCUCAAAUUGUGUCCAAUUUUCAACGAUUCCGUUUUUCUAGCACUACAAUUGAAUCCGAAAUGGGAGUGUGGAGAAGCAGAUGAUGCUUAACAGUGAUGUCUGCGGACCGAAAAAAGGCAGCGAUUGAUAUUUUUCAGCUUUGCUUCGAGAAUCGUGUGUGGAAGACACAAAAUGAUCAUAUUGUUGUGUUGUCUAGGCGGCAUGGUCAGUUGAAGCAGUUGUUUUAUCAAUCUUGUUGAUCCGGCCAUCGAUUUGUAAAGGAGAAGUGAUGGACUAAAAUGUAAUUUUACUACGUGUGCAAAUUUAGAAGCAUAAUGUACAAAGAACACAAGCCAUUUUACUACGAUAGCAAUGGUAGGUAGUGGAAAAAUCGAAGCCUCACCAGUGGCGGCUUUAGGGUUCCUUCAUGAGUCAGUCGGGGGCGGUUAGGAUUCCGGCAGAGGAAUCCUCAGAUGGUGAAGUUGAGGUUUGGUAGUGACUAUGGUGGUGAUUACAGGACUUUUUUUGUUACGAUGACAACGAUUCAAUGUCGGUUGAAGAAGAUCUGACGGUGGUGUGAAGGUUGUGGUCAUUUAUCUCAUUUGUGCAUCAGGGUUUGUGUUUUAGAACAGCUGAACAGGGGAAUUGGAUAUCGUUUUAUGCGUGUGUGAAUAUUCAUUUUUUAUUCAAAUAAGUUAUAUUAGGAUCCUAAGAUUAUUGUUUUCAUGAUAUUGUUUUUAUGAAUGAUCAAGAAGGUGAAACGUUGCAUUCAUGAUCCCGGCACGCCGAGAUAGAGGGUUGCAGGUCACCAUUGCACCAGGAACCGCCAUUUGCAGUCACACCACCGAUAUUGGUUUUAGAAGAUGCUUUCUUACGGUUAAAAGAAAGUGGAACUGGUCCAAACUUGGAAGGUUUGUUAAUCUCUUUUAUAAAAAGGGUAUACAAAUAAGGAUUGCCAAUGGAUCAAUGGAAUGCAAGACUGAAGCCUGAUUUCUUUCUUCACAUAAAGACUAGGUCAAUAAGGCUGAUUGCGGCAGUAGUAACGUUUUCCGAUGCCAUAUGGUGUAGAAUAGGGGCCUAUAAAGGUAACUUGAUGUUCUUUAAUUCCAUUAAACUCAUGUUGUUCUUUAAUUCAGCUAUAAUUGUCAGUUAAUUUACUGUGAAGAUCGACAGGCCAGACAGGUCGAGUAAAGGGUCAUAUUUAAGUGCAGAAAAUGGUGGAGUCGGUUUGUAAUUCAUCUUGGUUUCAAUUAUUUUACCUGAUAUUAUAUGCAGUUUAUGAUUUCUUUUUUCUUUUUUUUUGUUUUAAAUUAAGUGCAGGAAAUGGUGGAGCGGUGCUGGGUCGAUUAAGGCGCACGUGGUUGGUUCCGAUGACCAUUCGCCGAAAAACGCCCAUUUCAACAGAAACAUCAAUAGGUUCAAAGUGACUAUGGUGAGGGUUUCGGGUGAUCAACCAACAUUUCAGUAAAAAAGAUUUAACUCGGGUCAGCGGACGGUCAUCAGGAAUGUAUAAAUGUACACUCAAGUCGUUUUGAUAAUUUAAUAUAAUUAUCAUCAACCUCUGUUCAACGAGGUGCGUUAAGGUUGUACACUGUUGAAGCCGAGAGAAAAGGGAAAGGCUAUAGCUGAUACAGGCGUUAUUCAGGUUAGUUUAUCGGGUUUUUAUGGUUAAUCAGGUUUCUAAAAUUUAGUAUUAAAAUCCAGUACUGGCCCCGUAUGUUUAUUCAGUUACUCAAGUUCAGGUUUUUCAGCUUUCAGGUUAAACGGGUCGAAAUAAUAAGCAUGUAUACUUGAAAUAACAAGUCAGAAUAGGUUUGGCUUGGCUGACCCGUCAAAUUUUCAAAACCGUCACCAGAGAACUCAUGUGCUGCCAAUACCAUGCUAACCAACACUUUCACUGAGCACCACUAUGUUCAACAGAAGUAUAUCAACUGUAUUGCUUUAUUUGUUUUUGAAUUCUCAAAAUAUGUUUAUUCGCAGAGUUGAUGAUAUGCAUAAGUUUUCGGGUAGGAUAAAGAGGUGCACUAAUUGUCACAAAUUUAUUAUGCUUAAUUUUGUAUAUUUUGUUGCAUUAAGUUAUUAUUUGUAUGAUAUAACGUCAAGCCACACUCCAAUUUUUUAAUUUUUUUUUAUCACAGACUGAAGCUGCAGCAAAGAGGGCACUAGCUUGAUGGGUCGGAUAUAAAAUGGAGUAAUAAUGACAUGGGGAUGGGGCGAACACGGUCAGCUUGGUUUAGAAGAUACAUGUGAUCACACUUGUCCUCAGGUUUCAGUUCAUGCAUUAAAGAAUGAACACAGUUCUUAAACCGAGACCAACUUAAACCGAUGAUUUCUCUUUCUUUUGAUCGAGUUUCUAGGGGAAAUCUCUUAUAUAUCUCUUACCGAUUUGAUGAGAUGUGGGUUUGACUUGAAUAAAACUCUAUAUAUGUUAUUUUUUAUGAUUGACUUUUA